rnacentral:rRNA from 1 species
UACGGGGGGAGCAAGCGUUGUUCGGAUUUACUGGGCGUAAAGGGCGCGUAGGCGGCGCCGCAAGUCGACUGUGAAAUCUCCGGGCUUAACCCGGAAAGGUCAGCCGAUACUGCGGGGCUAGAGUGCAGAAGGGGCAACUGGAAUUCUCGGUGUAGCGGUGAAAUGCGUAGAUAUCGAGAGGAACACCUGCGGCGAAGGCGGGUUGCUGGGCUGACACUGACGCUGAUGCGCGAAAGCGUGGGGAGCAAACAGG